rnacentral:rRNA from 1 species
UAAUGCCUAGGAAAUUGCCCUGAUGUGGGGGAUAACCAUUGGAAACGAUGGCUAAUACCGCAUGAUGCCUACGGGCCAAAGAGGGGGACCUUCGGGCCUCUCGCGUCAGGAUAUGCCUAGGUGGGAUUAGCUAGUUGGUGAGGUAAGGGCUCACCAAGGCGACGAUCCCUAGCUGGUCUGAGAGGAUGAUCAGCCACACUGGAACUGAGACACGGUCCAGACUCCUACGGGAGGCAGCAGUGGGGAAUAUUGCACAAUGGGCGCAAGCCUGAUGCAGCCAUGCCGCGUGUGUGAAGAAGGCCUUCGGGUUGUAAAGCACUUUCAGUCGUGAGGAAGGUAGUGUAGUUAAUAGCUGCAUUAUUUGACGUUAGCGACAGAAGAAGCACCGGCUAACUCCGUGCCAGCAGCCGCGGUAAUACGGAGGGUGCGAGCGUUAAUCGGAAUUACUGGGCGUAAAGCGCAUGCAGGUGGUUUGUUAAGUCAGAUGUGAAAGCCCGGGGCUCAACCUCGGAAUUGCAUUUGAAACUGGCAGACUAGAGUACUGUAGAGGGGGGUAGAAUUUCAGGUGUAGCGGUGAAAUGCGUAGAGAUCUGAAGGAAUACCGGUGGCGAAGGCGGCCCCCUGGACAGAUACUGACACUCAGAUGCGAAAGCGUGGGGAGCAAACAGGAUUAGAUACCCUGGUAGUCCACGCCGUAAACGAUGUCUACUUGGAGGUUGUGGCCUUGAGCCGUGGCUUUCGGAGCUAACGCGUUAAGUAGACCGCCUGGGGAGUACGGUCGCAAGAUUAAAACUCAAAUGAAUUGACGGGGGCCCGCACAAGCGGUGGAGCAUGUGGUUUAAUUCGAUGCAACGCGAAGAACCUUACCUACUCUUGACAUCCAGAGAACUUUCCAGAGAUGGAUUGGUGCCUUCGGGAACUCUGAGACAGGUGCUGCAUGGCUGUCGUCAGCUCGUGUUGUGAAAUGUUGGGUUAAGUCCCGCAACGAGCGCAACCCUUAUCCUUGUUUGCCAGCGAGUAAUGUCGGGAACUCCAGGGAGACUGCCGGUGAUAAACCGGAGGAAGGUGGGGACGACGUCAAGUCAUCAUGGCCCUUACGAGUAGGGCUACACACGUGCUACAAUGGCGCAUACAGAGGGCGGCCAACUUGCGAAAGUGAGCGAAUCCCAAAAAGUGCGUCGUAGUCCGGAUUGGAGUCUGCAACUCGACUCCAUGAAGUCGGAAUCGCUAGUAAUCGUGGAUCAGAAUGCCACGGUGAAUACGUUCCCGGGCCUUGUACACACCGCCCGUCACACCAUGGGAGUGGGCUGCAAAAGAAGUAGGU